rnacentral:rRNA from 1 species
ACGUAGGGGGCAAGCGUUGUCCGGAUUCAUUGGGCGUAAAGAGCUCGUAGGCGGUUCGAUAAGUCGGGUGUGAAACCUCCAGGCUCAACCUGGAGACGCCACCCGAUACUGUCGUGACUAGAGUCCAGUAGGGGAGCGUGGAAUUCCUGGUGUAGCGGUGAAAUGCGCAGAUAUCAGGAGGAACACCAGCGGCGAAGGCGGCGCUCUGGGCUGGAACUGACGCUGAGGAGCGAAAGCGUGGGGAGCGAACAGGA